rnacentral:rRNA from 1 species
GACGAACGCUGGCGGCGUGCCUAAUACAUGCAAGUUGAGCGCUGAAGGUUGGUACUUGUACCAACUGGAUGAGCAGCGAACGGGUGAGUAACGCGUGGGGAAUCUGCCUUUGAGCGGGGGACAACAUUGGGAAACGAAUGCUAAUACCGCAUAAAAACUUUAAACACAAGUUUUAAGUUUGAAAGAUGCAAUUGCAUCACUCAAAGAUGAUCCCGCGUUGUAUUAGCUAGUUGGUGAGGUAAAGGCUCACCAAGGCGAUGAUACAUAGCCGACCUGAGAGGGUGAUCGGCCACAAUGGGACUGAGACACGGCCCAAACUCCUACGGGAGGGAGCAGUAGGGAAUCUUCGGCCAUGGACGAAAGGCUGACCGGGCAACGCCGCGUGAGUGAAGAAGGUUUUCGGAUCGUAAAACUCUGUUGGUAGAGAAGAACGUUGGUGAGAGUGGAAAGCUCAUCAAGUGACGGUAACUACCCAGAAAGGGACGGCUAACUACGUG